ensembl:ribozyme RNaseP_nuc Nuclear RNase P
GGUAGAGGAAGUUCAUCAGUAAGCCAUUUCCAGGUGCUCUUCUCUACCAAUCUGCUGGAAAGGUCUGAAGCUGACUCUUCCUGUGUCCAUAACCCGGCUUUGCCCAAGUACAAAAGUGAGUUCCCAGACAGCAGGGUUCCACCUGUGGACAGACUAGGCAAGAGAGUUCCUGUGUGGGCAGAUGGCCCCUCUCUGGAGCUUGGAACAGAAUCACAAACAGCAUGGAGAGUUCAAAUUCAGUCAGAGUGGUAGAUUGCCCCCAUAAUAUUCUUGCUAUU